rnacentral:rRNA from 1 species
UCGAGCGGGCGUAGCAAUACGUCAGCGGCAGACGGGUGAGUAACGCGUGGGAACGUACCUUUUGGUUCGGAACAACACAGGGAAACUUGUGCUAAUACCGGAUAAGCCCUUACGGGGAAAGAUUUAUCGCCGAAAGAUCGGCCCGCGUCUGAUUAGCUAGUUGGUGAGGUAAUGGCUCACCAAGGCGACGAUCAGUAGCUGGUCUGAGAGGAUGAUCAGCCACAUUGGGACUGAGACACGGCCCAAACUCCUACGGGAGGCAGCAGUGGGGAAUAUUGGACAAUGGGGGCAACCCUGAUCCAGCCAUGCCGCGUGAGUGAUGAAGGCCCUAGGGUUGUAAAGCUCUUUUGUGCGGGAAGAUAAUGACGGUACCGCAAGAAUAAGCCCCGGCUAACUUCGUGCCAGCAGCCGCGGUAAUACGAAGGGGGCUAGCGUUGCUCGGAAUCACUGGGCGUAAAGGGUGCGUAGGCGGGUCUUUAAGUCAGGGGUGAAAUCCUGGAGCUCAACUCCAGAACUGCCUUUGAUACUGAGGAUCUUGAGUUCGGGAGAGGUGAGUGGAACUGCGAGUGUAGAGGUGAAAUUCGUAGAUAUUCGCAAGAACACCAGUGGCGAAGGCGGCUCACUGG